ensembl:lncRNA
AAUGAUGAAUUAGCCUUUUAAAAUGACAAACUUGGAUUAGCUAACACAACGGGCCAUUGGAACAGGAGUGAUGGUUGCUGAUAAUGGGCCUCUGUACGCCUAUGUAGAUAUUCCAUUAAAAAAAUCUGCCGUUACCAGCUACAAUACUCAUUUACAACAUUAACAAUGUCUACACUGUAUUUCUGAUCAAUUUGAUGUUAUUUUAAUGGACAAAAAAUGCGCUUUUCUUUCAAAAACUGGGACAUUCUAAGUGACCCCAAACUUUUGAAUGGUAGUGCACAUGUCAGCAGGGAUAAAAAAAGGUAGCCCGAGGCUACUACUUUUCAGACUGGACUAGUAGACAAUGUGCCAAACUAGCCUGACACAGCAGUGAAAUGGCUAGCAGAAAAUGUGCCGAACUAGCCUGACACAGGAGUGAAAUUUGGCCUUUAUAAACAUCGUAUGCCACAGAUUUAGGACCUAAAUGUUACCCGAGCUUGUAGAAAUCGUGGUCUGCUGGCCAGUGCCCAAAAUCCUUAUUCCAUCCAUGCAUGUCAGUCCCUUUCAGCCGAACCACCCUUAUCGGUGUUGGUCCUCCUCAGUGACCUCACGGCUGAAGGUUUUAACUUUACUCUUGAGAAUUAGAAUCAGAAGUAGUAUAACUCAUAGCAAUACUCCACCUCUUCGGGCAAAUAGUACACUAGACUGUCCUGAUCAUCUAGUUGAGCAUUCCAGAUGAUUCCUCCAUCCCAGUAGAAAUGUCCCAUCGACAUAUUAGGAUUUUAGAUGUGCAGAUAAACCAAAGCCCAGUCUGUUACCGUUACUAUAGUCAAGUCUGUGAGUUAUGGUAUUUGAAUAUAGAUGGUAACGUUUCAGUAAUCAACUUAGCUAGCUAGUAAAAGUAACUUUUUUUUGUCUUUCAGACAGCUUGGCCCGGAAACCCAGUGACAACACUUGGGUCUGCAGCUGCUAUUUUCCGGUGGGAAAGAGAAAUGGCCCUGUAUUUACUAGAAAAGGUAGCUCAUCCACCAUGGCAGAAGAGGAAGAGAAAGAAGGGGAAGAAGAAGAGAAAGAGGAAGAAACAGACUCUUGAUUGGGAAACAAGAACAACCAAUGAGGCUUGAGGAUUGGGUGUUGAGGGACCACUUGUCACAUUCUCCAAGAUGGGUUUGUGUUAUGAUUAACAAUGCACUUUCUGUCGGCAGAUUGAGCCUGUGGACCGGCAGGUCAGUAACUCAUCAAAUGUGAUACAACAAUGAAUUUGUUGAUAUCUGUGCAGUAUGUUUGUCACGUUUGUGUAUGGUUCUCAUCACUUGUCACAUUGUCCAAGGUGUGUUUGUAUUAUGACAAACAAGGUGUUUUCUUCCAGACAAAGAUGUUGAUAUGGCAUUGAAAAAGACCCACCACUGACCAAAUGUCUCUUUGUUUUCCAGUCCAACAGGAGUGCAUCCCUCAGACCAUCUGGUGCAUGGACAUCCUGUGCCAGUGUGAUCCGAGAGCGAGUGUCCAGUUGUGGAGACUACAGCACAUCGAGCCUGUGGGCGGACAGAUAUGAGGCGUGACAUGGGGAACGUCAGGCUCACCCCACGAGAAGCAGUGCUUGAUCAACACCACCCUCAGCAAGGAGAUCUGCUGGAAGUGAUGUACUCUCUCUUACACUCUGGGUGCCAACGUUGGGAGCAUGCGGUCUUUGAAAACUCCUCAAGUCCAGCAAUAUGAGUCUGCCAGAGGUCGUCACGCUGGAUGCGGAUGGUGAUGGAGGCUUUGGUGGUCCACACAACCAAGAUGAUGUCCCUUCCAGUGAUGUGGCGUUGCCCUUUGACCUGAUGCAAGUAAGGAUGGGCUUCACGGAGGCGACUGACUAGAAUGCUUAUCUACACUGGCUGACCUUGGCUCUAGGCGAGGAGGGAAGGCUUGAGAACUAUAGAGCCUUUCUACCAGUGUCAAGAAGAGACGGAACAUUUAGAAAACGCUGACGUCAUUUUCAGUUUAUAACCUGUGGUAAAAUGUGUAAGUACUCUCGAGAAUAAACUCUGCUGUUUGAUUUUGAGACUGGGCUCUGUCUAUUAUUAUAGAAUAAGGGUCUUACAAGUCCUUAUGAAUGGACAGAGUGUUUAAUUUAAUUGGAUAUUAAAACAUAGAGUAAUUUAAUUCCUUUAACAGAAGGCCAGCAUCCCGGAGUCGCCUCUUCACUGUUGACGUUGAGACGGUAUUUUGCGGGUACUAUUUAAUGAAGCUGCC